ACAUUGUGCAAUUAUGAUUUUGACAUUAGCCACCAAGGAGCUUCAGGUCUGCAGAUUCAUUCAUCAUCUCAGGGCCCCCCUGGCAGCUCCCUAGGGCCCCCUUUUGGGCCCCGCCCCCCCGUUGAGAACCACUGCUCUAAAGGUUCAGCCUGAAACCACGCCACCUAUAAAUUU